AUUGACGUUAUGUGUUUUAAAACAUAUGGCGUCAAUUAAAAAUCAGCUCGACGCCUUAAAAUUUCCAGCUCGAACCCUGAAUCGUAGAUCCGCAAUUCGUCUCGUUUCUUUAAGAUUCAAAGUUAAUUGGCUUGUGUUUCAGGUUGAGGGAGUCGAAGAGACUAUAGGGUCCAAUUUUGAGCGAAUUCGGACAACGUAUCAGUUUGGACAGAUCUUCAAAUCAAUAGUCAAAGCAUUUGAUGAAGAUUCGAGGGAAACAUAAUGUAUAUUGGGUAUGAGGAGGAUGAGAGGAGUAAGAGGUGUUAAUUGGGUCAGCUCUGGGUGAGUUUGUGUUUUGGCCGGAUCUUAGAUCUAAAAUUCGAGACGACCGGCUAAUAUUUUAAUAAAAGGGAUUUGAGGGUUCCAAAGAGGAGGAGAAAGAGGUUCUAAGGUGUAAAUUUCAAGGGAUUUGGAGGUGGGCCACCGGCGGCGGCGUUAGGUGGUGGGUGGCGGAGCUGGCUAGUGAAGACAUUGGUACGAGGAAGGAUU
rnacentral:lncRNA from 1 species